rnacentral:rRNA from 1 species
GACGAACGCUGGCGGCGUGCUUAACACAUGCAAGUCGAACGGAAAGGCCCUGCUUUUGUGGGGUGCUCGAGUGGCGAACGGGUGAGUAACACGUGAGUAACCUGCCCUUGACUUUGGGAUCACUUCAGGAAACUGGGGCUAAUACCGGAUAGGAGCUCCUGCUGCAUGGUGGGGGUUGGAAAGUUUCGGCGGUUGGGGAUGGACUCGCGGCUUAUCAGCUUGUUGGUGGGGUAGUGGCUUACCAAGGCUUUGACGGGUAGCCGGCCUGAGAGGGUGACCGGCCACAUUGGGACUGAGAUACGGCCCAGACUCCUACGGGAGGCAGCAGUGGGGAAUAUUGCACAAUGGGCGGAAGCCUGAUGCAGCAACGCCGCGUGCGGGAUGGCGGCCUUCGGGUUGUAAACCGCUUUCGCCUGUGACGAAGCGUGAGUGACGGUAAUGGGUAAAGAAGCACCGGCUAACUACGUG